GGGGAAUUUUGGACAAUGGGCGCAAGCCUGAUCCAGCAAUGUCGCGUGCAGGAUGAAGGCCUUCGGGUUGUAAACUGCUUUUGUACGGAGCGAAAAGGUCUGCCCUAAUACGGUGGGCUCAUGACGGUACCGUAAGAAUAAGCACCGGCUAACUACGUGCCAGCAGCCGCGGUAAUACGUAGGGUGCGAGCGUUAAUCGGAAUUACUGGGCGUAAAGCGUGCGCAGGCGGUUAUGUAAGACAGAUGUGAAAUCCCCGGGCUCAACCGGGGAGCUGCAUUUGUGACUGCAUGGCUAGGGUACGGUAGAGGGGGAUGGAAUUCCGCGUGUAGCAGUGAAAUGCGUAGAUAUGCGGAGGAACACCGAUGGCGAAGGCAAUCCCCUGGACCUGUACUGACGCGCAUGCACGAAAGCGUGGGGAGCAAACA
rnacentral:rRNA from 1 species